CCGGCGACCGGCGCACGGGUGAGUAACACGUAUGUAACCUGCCCUAUGCAGGGGGAUGACCCGGAGAAAUCCGGCCUAAUACCGCGUAACACCUUUUGGGAGCAUUCCCGGGAGGUUAAAGGAGAGAUCCGGCAUAGGAUGGACAUGCGUCGCAUUAGGUAGACGGCGGGGUAACGGCCCACCGUGCCGACGAUGCGUAGGGGUUCUGAGAGGAAGGUCCCCCACACUGGUACUGAGACACGGACCAGACUCCUACGGAAGGCAGCAG
rnacentral:rRNA from 1 species